rnacentral:rRNA from 1 species
CAAUAGCGUAUAUUAAAGUUGUUGCAGUUAAAAAGCUCGUAGUUGGAUUUGUGGCUGUCACGGGCGGCCUAUCACUUAGUGUUAGUGCUUGCCUGUGUCGCCAUCCUUGGGUGGAGCCCGUGUGGCAUUAGGUUGUCGUGCGGGGGAUGCCCAUCGUUUACUGUGAGAAAAUUAGAGUGUUCAAAGCAGGCUUAUGCCGUUGAAUAUGUUAGCAUGGAAUAAUAAGAUAGGACCUCGGCACUAUUUUGUUGGUUUGCGCACCGAGGUAAUGAUUAAUAGGGACAGUUGGGGGUAUUCGUAUUUCAUUGUCAGAGGUGAAAUUCUUGGAUUUCUGAAAGACGAACUACUGCGAAAGCAUUUACCAAGGAUGUUUUCAUUAA